CUUAAAAAUGAUGAUCGAUGAACAAUCUGCUGAUUCAUAUCGUAUCAUUCUAAUGUUCUGACUUACUAUGCUCGAGGGGGUCAUGGAUGCAUGGAUAGGACCUUUAUCGGGACUCCGGGAUCGGGUGUUUUUAAGCUCGUGAUUUCGGGAUGUCGGGAUUUACUUUAUUUAAAUUCGGGACCUCGUGAUUUCGUGUUUUUAAACGGGCCGGGAUUUCGGGAUCAGGAACCCUCCUAUCCCCCUCUAUGUUGAUGCUUUGUGAAAAAUACAGAAAUUUGACUUACCGGUAUGCUACCAUUAUAUUUGCCAUCGUUAGAGUCAUGUCCAAAGCAGAAUAUUAAUGAAACACAUGCAAUAAUUCCUUCAAAUCUUUAUACUUUGUGCAAGAGAACGCC
rnacentral:lncRNA from 1 species